rnacentral:rRNA from 1 species
UACGAAGGUGGCAAGCGUUACUCGGAAUUACUAGGCGUAAAGGGCAGGUAGGUGGUUUGGUAUGUCUAUUGUGAAAGCUCCUGGCUUAACCGGGAGAGGCCAAUGGAAACUACCAGACUUGAGUGUGGGAGAGGGUACUGGAAUUCCCGGUGUAGCGGUGAAAUGCGCAGAGAUCGGGAGGAACACCAAAGGCGAAAGCAGGUACCUGGACCAUUACUGACACUGAGCUGCGAAAGCUAGGGGAGCAAAC